rnacentral:rRNA from 1 species
GUGGGGAAUUUUGGACAAUGGGCGCAAGCCUGAUCCAGCAAUGCCGCGUGCAGGAAGAAGGCCUUCGGGUUGUAAACUGCUUUUGUACGGAACGAAACGGUCCGGGUUAAUACCCUGGGCUAAUGACGGUACCGUAAGAAUAAGCACCGGCUAACUACGUGCCAGCAGCCGCGGUAAUACGUAGGGUGCAAGCGUUAAUCGGAAUUACUGGGCGUAAAGCGUGCGCAGGUGGUCUUGUAAGACAGGCGUGAAAGCCCCGGGCUCAACCUGGGAAUUGCGCUUGUGACGGCAAGGCUGGAGUGCGGGAGAGGGGGAUGGAAUUCCGCGUGUAGCAGUGAAAUGCGUAGAUAUGCGGAGGAACACCGAUGGCGAAGGCAAUCCCCUGGGCCUGCACUGACGCUCAUGCACGAAAGCGUGGGGAGCAAACAGGAUUAGAAACCCCGGUAGUCC